GGGGAUUUAGCUCAGUGGUAGAGCACUUGCCUAGGAAGCGCAAGGUCCUGGGUUUGGUCCCCAGCUCCGAAAAAAAGAACCAAAAAAAAAUCAACUUUCAGGAAAGUUUUUUUUAACCUUGAAUAGUAAUAGUUGGGCCCUUACAAAUAGUGGGGCAUCAUGUCCAAAAUAAAGAUAAGCUUUAGAAGAAGGCACACAAGGAAAUGUACAAGAGAACCUGUAACUGUCAGAGAGAGAAAGGCUGCUGAGACCUCUGUUUGAGCAUUGUACCAUUCUGAUACUUGCUCUUGAACAUUUUGUUUCUACUAAGACUAGCUGAUCUCUUGAAAUACUUCCUGUGUGUUCACACUAUUUUCUCUCUUUAGUGCCCUCUUCCAUUGAUCAUAUCUCUGUCUCUAAUGUUCUACCCAUGCUUUAAGGUCCUUUCCAGGUGAACUGCACCCAUCAGUCAUCUCAAAACACUCCGGGUGGAUGUGACCUUUAGUGUGUGACACCAAAGCCCUGAUCAUUAUUGUGAGUUUGCCAUUCAUUGCCUAUGUCCUUAUGGUAUGGAUAUUGGCCUGCAGGUGCAUUUUCUACAACUCUUUUUGAUGAUAAGUUUUCUACGGUCAGUGAUCGCAGUGAGAGACAGUUGGUGACACACUGCACAAAACUUGGCACACUAUGGUUACAUUCUAUUUAUAUCCCUACCUGAGAGUUAAACAAAGAAGACUAUGCUGGCAGAUUAGAGGCAACCACAUAAAAUUGCAGAAAAUCUUACAUAAUUAAAACAUUCAAAACUUCUGACAGUUUAAGUCAAGUGAGCAUGCUCCUCUCCGGAUAUCUUUAUUUCCCAGAGAUGACAAGCUAGUGAUUCAGGUAACCAUCUCCUAGCUAGUGAUUCAGGUAACCAUCUCCAAGUUAGUGAUUCAGGUAACCAUCUCCAAGUUAGUGAUCCACUUUAAAAGGCAGGAGGUCUUCUGGAAGUCAAAAGAAAGAAACUAACCUAUUGCAUUCAUAAAAUGCAAUAGCCUGCCCUUUAAAAUAUGUCAUGGUUCUGGAAAAGUCUGAUGUGGAAGAACAAGCCACCAUAGGCUACAGAGCAGAUCUCGUCCCCGUGCUCUAUUUCCUAGUUUGACUUCUCUAUCACGAAGAUGGGGGUCGUUUUAAAGAGUGUCCUUCAUACUUUGUCAAAAACAGCAACCCUGAAUCCAGAGAUUUUCAUUUUGGAUAAUUUCCAAUUUAUGUAAUUAAAAAAAAAGGUUGUUUUUCUCCCCUAGUUCUGGACGCUUUUAUUUUUAAAGAAAAGAUUUUUAAAGUACUUAAAAUUAGUUUUCUCUAACACAGUUUCUUUGGGUAUCAAACCACUUAGAAGGGCGAGCCUUGAGCCCAGCAGCAGACAGCCCACACAACAUGAACUCAGUGGUGGGGGUUUUUACUUUUGGAAGUUCUUUGUUUCUUAAUCCCUUGUCAGGGUUUUGUUUUGCUUGCUUCUUGUUUGUUUUGUCUUGUUUUCUGUCUUCGUUUUUAAACAUAUCGGUCCUUUACAUGUAUAUAUUACGGUUUCCAGUUUUGUGUUUUUAUGGAAUUUCUCUCUGUGUGAAGAUGUGUAUGUGUCUCUGCAUCUAUCUGUGUUUCUGGUACUUUCAUUCUUGG
ensembl:lncRNA